rnacentral:rRNA from 1 species
UGGGGAAUAUUGCGCAAUGGGCGAAAGCCUGACGCAGCGACGCCGCGUGAGGGAUGAAGGUUUUCGGAUCGUAAACCUCUGCCAGAAGGGAAGAAACCGCACUGUGCUAAUCAGCAGUGCCUUGACGGUACCUUCAAAGGAAGCACCGGCUAACUCCGUGCCAGCAGCCGCGGUAAUACGGAGGGUGCAAGCGUUAAUCGGAAUUACUGGGCGUAAAGCGCACGUAGGCUGCUUUGUAAGUCAGGGGUGAAAUCCCACGGCUCAACCGUGAAACUGCCUUUGAUACUGCUUAGCUUGAAUCCGGGAGAGGAUGACGGAAUUCCAGGUGUAGGGGUGAAAUCCGUAGAUAUCUGGAGGAACAUCAGUGGCGAAGGCGGCCACCUGGACCGGUAUUGACGCUGAAGUGCUAAAGCGUGGGGAGCAAACAGC